GACGAACGCUGGCGGCGUGCUUAACACAUGCAAGUCGUACGGUAAGGCCCUUUCGGGGGUACACGAGUGGCGCACGGGGGAGUAACACGUGCGUAACCUGCCCACAACUUUGGGAUAACGCUAGGAAACUGGUGCUAAUACUGGAUAUGUGCUCCUGCUUCAUGGUGGGGGUUGGAAAGCUCCGGCGGUUGUGGAUGGACUCGCGGCCUAUCAGCUUGUUGGUGGGGUAGUGGCCUACCAAGGCGGCGACGGGUAGCCGGCCUGAGGGGGUGACCGGCCACAUUGGGACUGAGAUACGGCCCAGACUCCUACGGGAGGCAGCAGUGGGGAAUAUUGCACAAUGGGCGCAAGCCUGAUGCAGCAACGCCGCGGGCGGGAUGACGGCCUUCGGGUUGUAAACCGCUUUCAGCAGGGACGAAGCUUUUUGUGACGGUACCUGCAGAAGAAGCACCGGCUAACUACGUG
rnacentral:rRNA from 1 species